rnacentral:rRNA from 1 species
AUGGACAACCACGGCGAUUUGUACUGCUACACCGGCCGCUGCAUGGGCGCCGCGGCCGACCCCUCCUGCUCCUCCUCCGCCUCCUUGUCGUCCUUGGACUCGUUUCUUUCCGACAUGAGCAGCGGCGAGACGAUUGGCGCCGAAACGAGUCCUCGGCCCAACAAGCGAGCAGCCUCGACCGCACCGUCGUACAUCGGCGUGCGCGCGCGGCCGUGGGGACGGUUCGCGGCAGAGAUCCGGGACUCGACGCGGGGCGGCGCGCGGGUGUGGUUAGGCACGUUCGCCACGGCCGAGGCCGCCGCCAUGGCCUACGACCAGGCGGCGCUCUCCUCGCGGGGCGCGGCCACGGCGCUCAACUUCCCUUUGGAGCGCGUCCAGGAGUCGCUCCGCGCCCUCAACGCCACCGGCACAGGCAUGGCUGGCUCGCCCGUGCUGGCGCUCAAACGCCGCCACUCCAAGAGAAAGAGGCGCAGCAAGGCCGAGAUAGCCAACGACGCGGCGACAUGCACGAGGAGGAAGAGCAAAACGAUGGCCACGCAGGAGCGGUUCAUCGUGGAGCUGGAGGACCUCGGCACCGACUACCUGGAUGAGCUUCUCAGGAUCACGUGUGUGUAA